rnacentral:rRNA from 1 species
AUUGAACGCUGGCGGCAGGCCUAACACAUGCAAGUCGAGCGGAUGAAGGGAGCUUGCUCCUGGAUUCAGCGGCGGACGGGUGAGUAAUGCCUAGGAAUCUGCCUGGUAGUGGGGGAUAACGUCCGGAAACGGGCGCUAAUACCGCAUACGUCCUGAGGGAGAAAGUGGGGGAUCUUCGGACCUCACGCUAUCAGAUGAGCCUAGGUCGGAUUAGCUAGUUGGUGGGGUAAAGGCCUACCAAGGCGACGAUCCGUAACUGGUCUGAGAGGAUGAUCAGUCACACUGGAACUGAGACACGAUCCAGACUCCUACGGGAGGCAGCAGUGGGGAAUAUUGAACAAUGGGCGAAAGCCUGAUCCAGCCAUGCCGCGUGUGUGAAGAAGGUCUUCGGAUUGUAAAGCACUUUAAGUUGGGAGGAAGGGCAGUAAGUUAAUACCUUGCUGUUUUGACGUUACCAACAGAAUAAGCACCGGCUAACUUCGU